AUCUUUAAUAUGAAUAUAUGAUAAAUACAUAUGUAUGUUGAUUAUACAAUGAGUACAACUAGUUAAUUUCUUGAAUACUUAUAUAUGUUGUUUUAUUUU